rnacentral:rRNA from 1 species
GUCCACGCCGUAAACGAUGAGUGCUAAGUGUUAGGGGGUUUCCGCCCCUUAGUGCUGCAGCUAACGCAUUAAGCACUCCGCCUGGGGGAGUACGGUCGCAAGACUGAAACUCAAAGGAAUUGACGGGGGCCCGCACAAGCGGUGGAGCAUGUGGUUUAAUUCGAAGCAACGCGAAGAACCUUACCAGGUCUUGACAUCCCAUUGACCGCUAUGGAGACAUAGUUUUCCCUUCGGGGACAGUGGUGACAGGUGGUGCAUGGUUGUCGU